UCUUCUAUGGGUAAAGUCAAAAAUAAUGAGGCCAAACAUUUAAAGGCUACCCAGAUUAAUAUUUUAAUAGUUGUGUAUAUUGUUAUAAGUGCUAAAUAUAGCAUCUAUCAGUGUUGUAAAAUAUGCCAAGUUUCAGGGACAUCACGCUACAAGUGAAAAGGAUACAAGAAAAAAAUUACCCUAAAAUGUCAGGAGUGUAACACUUUUAGUGUGACAUUUUACACAAAUGAUGAUUCUCUAUUCCUGAUACAGAAAAACAGUUUCUUAAAUGACAAUUUUUGUCACUUAUGUUAUAUAUCUUAUGCUCUCGCAAUUGCUUUUUCUUAUUUUUUUUGUAAAAUGUAGGUAUCCCACUUGGUUAUCCAGUCACUAAAGUCAGUCGUUGUAAAAUAAAAUGUACUUUAAAAAAAGCAUGGUUUGUACUAACAGUAAAGUUUCUGCUUAUAUCUUUGUUAUUAAAAGCUUUUCCUUGCUUCUAAAAUUUUGACCAUUGUAUAUAGUUAAGAAUAUAAAUUCUUUUUUUUCUAUGCUAUAAAUGUUAUUGACUCGAUUUCGAUUCAAAAUAAUGACACUGCUCAGUGUCAGGAGUGUAACAUCUUGUACUUUUACUGAUUUCCUUAUUGCAUAUAAGGUGUUAUAUUAAUAUGUUCUUUCUUUUUCAAAAACAUGAGUCCAAGUGAUGUCAGCAGUGACAUUAGUUCAAGUUAACUAAAUCAUGCACUUUCUGUACAUGAUCAUCAGUGAUGUCAGGAGUGUAACACUAUUUUUGCCAUCUUUUAACCUUGUAACGAUUUCAUGAAUAUACCAUAUAAAUUUCGUAUCUAAAUAUGAUUCUUGCCACUAUUCAUAAGGAAAAGUAAUUAAGUAUUUGUUUUUUUGUUUUUUUUUAAGAAACCACAAUGCUUAAGUUCUGUUUUUAGUAUAUUUACUUAAAUACCAUCAAAAUUUCCUAAAUGUCUACUAUUGACAAGUAUAAUCAUUGAAAUUUUAUUAUAGUACACUAAAGAAAUUACUGAGAAAUUAAAAUCAUGUAUAUACUCUUUGCAGAACAAAGCAUUUAUAUACAAUUAUUGAAGAUUAAGUAUGCAAUAUGAGUAAAAUACAGUAUGUGAGAAUAGUGAAAAGUGUUACACUCCUGACAUUUUUUUCUUUUUCGGCAAUUGUAGUUAACUUUAUAUUAUUUUCAGCAGACUAAUAAACAAUUGAAGUAGAUAUAAAAAAAAAACACUAUAAAACUCAUGUAAACAAUUAUAUAUGCCAAUUAGUAUGAUGAGAUUUGAUAUUAUUUCUAAAAAGUAACCAAGUCAAUAACAAUAAAGACAUACAGUAAUUUUUUUUUCAUCUAUGAUAAUUACUGUUAAUUCUGCAAUCAUUUUUGUUAUCACAUUUUUUUGAAUGCAGUUCCUGCAUAUUCAAUUUUCAGUUAUUGUAGUCCUUAGUCUUUUAAAAUACUAACCAUUUGAAUUCUGCCAAAACACUGCAUUUUUGCUCUGCUUUUGCUUAAUACCUAACCUUAAUAAAGAAGUAGCUAGUAAUACUAACAAUUGUGAGAGAGAGACUAACCUGAGAGGUGUGCUUACAGACAGCAUUGAGUCUUAUAUAUAUAACAACUCAACAGAGCAUAAAAAUGAAACUCUAAGCGAGUUUGAAAAUAAAAUUCACAGAAAAGGUUGGAAGAUUCCAGGUACUAUUCCUGAUGACGGCAAUUGUUUCUUUUGGGCCAGCAGUGAUCAGUUACAUGCCCUUGGGAUGACUCAACAAAGUCACACUCAGUUGAGAAGCAAAGUAAUUCAUCACAUGCAAAACUUACCAGAGACUGACAAAUUGGAAUUAGAGCAAAUCUUGGCAAGUGACUUAACCAAAUAUAUUGAAAAUAUGUCAAAGAAUGGAACCUAUACAGACCAUGUGUGUUAACAGAAUAUGUGCAAAGCCCUGUCUUGCAAGAUAAAUGUGUUCAUGGGGAUACUCCUAACGUAACCAUUGGAGAUGGAGACAGUUCCCUACCAACAUUGUUGAUGGUAACAUUCCAGAAAUUGAACAUUAUGUUAGCUUGCAGCGUUUAAAUAGGUAAUAUCACAGGCAGAUGAUGACAUCCAAGUUAGGUUCCUUAAAGCAAGCGGAGGUGCUGACGAGUACAGUUGGCCGGCCAAGGAGGAUGUGUCCUGGCAGUCCUUUGAAGAUAUUGUUCAGACACUCAAAAUGACAAUUCUUCUUCCUGGGCGCGGAAUACCGCUUCAAUUUUUAACUUGAAUGACUUAAGAUCAUAGAAAUCAUAUAUUUUCAAAUAAACAGUUCCAAGUGCACAUCUUGUGUCAGGAGUGUAACACAGUUUGAACAGUUAAUGUUAAUGUUUGUACUUUAUGUAGUUUAAAUUUGUAGCUUCUUUUUAUCUUUUUAUUUAAAUAAAUGUUCUCUUAAACCAGUAUGGUUUUCUACCAGGGGUAGAAAGCAAGUAGAACAUAUAUAAAAAAGAAAAUGUUUACACUCAGAUGGUUCACAUAUAUAUAGUAAAGGUUUGAAAAAGGUCACUUAUUUUUUAACAAAGUGUUUUUAAAAAGGCAAGAUAAACAAAAAGGAACAAUUAACAUAGAAAACUUAUACUUGUCUUAAGUAUUUCAUUAAAAAAUAUUUUAAAUCAAUAUUUUAAGAUAUUAAGUCUCUUGCCUGAAUGUGUCAGGAGUGUAACACUCAAAUGUUAAAGUGAAAUUGUGCAUUUUUUUGUGAAAUAGAUUCUUCAUGGUCAUUUUGAUAUUUUCCUAUUGGUUAGGAACAGAAGCUUAAUUAAUGUUUAUAACCUUUAUUUCCAUUUUUUUGCUAAUUGUUUACAUGUUAGAAACUUGUUUGCGGUUUUAAGUGUAACUUCAUAUCUUUGCUCUAAGAAUUAUUCUCAAAUGUAAUAACCUAUCAGUAUGUUUUCAAACAUCAGUGGUGUUCUGUACAUGUGUUUCUUAUGUAAUUUUUACCUCCAAUGUUUCUGUAAAGAACUAUUAUCAUUUAAACAAGUUAUGCUAGUCAUGUCAGGAGUGUAACGCUUUUUUAUAAAAUACAAGUUAAAUUUGACUGCUUAUUUUUUUUUUUUGAGAGGUUGAAAUAUUUGGAAACUUUAUUUUACAUCAAAGUAAUUAUUAAUACAUACUUACAACUACUUUUUUAUUUCUCUGCCCAAUUUUCUCCAACUUUAGAAAAACUUGAUGUUCUUACAUUAAAGAAAAUCAGACUUUAGUAACAAAACAAUAGCAUUUUUUUUUCUCUUGUAAAACUACUGGUAAAAAAAUGGUAUAUUUUUUAUCCGUACAUCACUACUGAUACUAAAAUAUAACAACACAUAUGAUUUAAUUAACAUUGGGAAGUAUAGUGACACAAUUUUAUAAAGCAUUGGUUUUGUUAAUUUUUGUUAAUAAGUUGAAAUAAAAUGUUGAUUUAUACAAUUUGUGUUGUGUUAGAUAAAAUCCAAUUACUCGGCAUUAAACAUCAAUCAAUAUCACAUGGUUUUAAGUGAAAAAUAAGUAGAAAUAUGAA